AUUAUAUGGAACCCUCGUGCUCGUUCAUCACUUCGUUUUUCCACGCUGGGGUAGUUUUAUGAGAUACACUGAUAGAGGCUGUUUCGAAGAAUGGCCACAAUUAUACCCUGCUCUUGCAGAUGAAGCUGAUUGAUUCAGAGCCGAAGAGCUCCGUGGUGUCUGACAGUCUGGGCCUUACAGUGCAAGAUGCAGAUAGUCGCAUUUGUCUAAGGUGCUAA
rnacentral:lncRNA from 1 species